rnacentral:rRNA from 1 species
UACGUAGGCAGCAAGCGUUGUUCGGAGUUACUGGGCGUAAAGAGUGCGUAGGCGGUCUUUUAAGUUUGGUGUGAAAUCUCCCGGCUCAACUGGGAGGGUGCGCCGAAAACUGGGAGGCUUGAGGAUGGGAGAGGCAUGCGGAGUUCCUGGUGUAGCGGUGAAAUGCGUAGAUAUCAGGAGGAACACCUGCGAUGUAGACAGCAUGCUGGACCAUUUCUGACGCUGAGGCACGAAAGCGUGGGUAGCAAACAGG